GGCCUGAUGGUGGAGUGGUUUCCACACCUGCUUAUCUUGAGUUUGGGCUCCAGAUGUUUCAGCAGGAGGGCCUUGUUCGAUUCGGGGUCAGGUCA